rnacentral:lncRNA from 1 species
AUGAAUCCUUGUUUGCAGACUGUAAAUGCACUACAGAAAUAAAGAAAGUGUGUAUGAGAGCUGGCAGAGCAAAGGGGGCAAGCAGAGCCAAGCACCGUGAACAAGGCUCAGGGUCAUAGGGCACACAUGAUAGUGUAAUGCAGGAGGAGUGCGAGCUUUGUCACUGGGCAUUCAGGUCUUCCCUGGCAGGAGACUGCUUACGUGCCACACAGGACCCUGCCACCGUCAAGUCCACUCUCCUGCCUGUGCAGAGGUGGAAGCUGUUCCUAGGCUGAUUUGCAGCAUUAGAGGGCAGGCAGCCACAGCUGAAGGGACCAAAGACAUCAAAAACAAGCAUUUUUCAAAAACUGAAGUCAAUCAAAGGAGUAGUAGCAAUAAAGAGGAAGAUUGUUAUCAUGGGGUGAAGAUGAGGCAAUGCCAAGUAUAGUGCCGCGUACAGAGCCUGGAGCAAGGUGAACAAACGCAGGCUCCGGGAUGCCAAGUGACUUCAUAUCAACAUCACCCAGCAGAUUAAGGGAACUGGGCCCAGACUCCUAGGCUCCUGACUACCCAGUCCUGUGCCCAUUCUAGUGGCCACUAUACUCACCCACUGGUUGUAGCCAUAUCUGGCUUAGGCUGGCAACACUUUUGAAGCAAGGAUGAUGCUUUCUUUCUUUUGCCCAAGACCAUUCUUCAUAUAAUAAGACAAUUAACAGAUUGUGGGUUUGAUUUAUAUGUAUGGUGAACUAACACUGGAAUGUAUCUGAAAGAUUGAGGCAGGAGAGGUAGUCAAGGAAGUAACCACGUCUUUCAGACGUGGCAACCGUGAUGACCACCAACACAAUAAGCCCUGGUGUUGACACUGUAGUCAAGCUCAUUCAAGCAAAGCUAUUUUCAGUAGGGAAUUUCCUCUGUAGAGAGCAUGCACAUUUUGAUUUUACCUGUCCUCAAACUGACCCUUUGCUCAUUAUAAUACUAAUAUAAAAAAUACUAAUAUUAAAAAAACCCCUGGGUGGAGAUUUAAGACGUUAAUGAGACAUGCGACCUAUGAAUAAGCAUGUACAGCUACUGCACAUGUGCAUCCAGAGGACCACCCACAAUAUGCUUACUAGUAACAUCUCCUUCCACACCCUUAUGAAUAAUCAUGUAAGAUUCCCAUAAGGGUAGUCUCCCUAGGGCCAGUCCAUGCUUUCUCUUCUUUAUGAGCAGCCUGCCAUGAAUCCUCUCUCAGGGUGCACUGUCUAUUCUGCACCCAGCUUUUAGAAUAUUCUUUCUCUUUUGCAAUAAAUUGCUCUAUGCUGCAGCUCCUUUGCUGUGUGUCUCUUCUUUAAGUUCUUUUAAACUAAUAAGACAAGAACUGAGGUCUCACAACAGCCAUCAACAAGAUUGUUGAAAUUCUGGAAGAGUGAUUUUCCCCAUGGGUAAUACAUUAUUCUUUUUAUUAUUUCAA